ACGAGGAGAUUAACGAGGAAGAGUAUGACAGGGGAAGGUAUCACUUUGAAGAGUAUCCUGCUCCCGUGAGACAAAGCAAGAGCUUGACGGUAGCUCACAAGCACAUUAGGAGGCUGCAAGGCUGGAACAAGGCACAAGAUAAACACAUCGUACUGCUGUUUCGAGGAACAACUUGCCAU